rnacentral:tRNA from 1 species
AAGAGAGGUCGGAGGACAAAAAGAACUGCUAAUUCUUUCUAUCCAUGGUUCAAAUCCAUGGCUCACUUA